UAAAUGGGGCACAGCAAGGUAUAAUUAGAUA
rnacentral:piRNA from 1 species